CUGGGGAUAAAGGAGAGAUGAUUAGCGCUAAUGUCGGGGACAGCUUCUAAAAUUCAUCGCCUCAUGCAUUAAGCCUUAAAAAAGCCUUAUUUGAACUUUGAGACAACAACUCAUUCUGAUCGCUGAUUGUAUAGCCCAGAUAAUAUACUUAUCUACAAUGCACCGCCGUAAGAGAGCACUGAAAACUGAGAAACUGAGUAUACAACCUAAGAACGGGUAUUACCGCUCAGUUCUACUUCGACAGCUUUCCUCCCAGCACAACAUGGACUGGCUGGAGUAUCAGUGCACCUACAGUAGCUCAACAUAGCACCCGCGCCGCUUUCCUCUCUGGAGGGAAGGACAGUCGGAUAUUUUUUUUUUUUGACUCGAAGAGAGAAAGAGAGAGAUUAGAAAAAAAAGAAGCUGAUACAUCGUGCAGUUGUAUACCAUCGUAGUCGCGAGGAUGAAACUCGACGAGCAGCUGUUGUUCUUGUAGCCUAACGCCGAUAUACGUGUUGAGAGUUGGUGGGUAAACCGCGCGCAGAAGCCGACUCUUCGGGGACAUUGCACACUUUGCUCAUAAAUCAGAUCUCAAACUUCGCCCCACAAAGAAUUGCGGGGCUUAACAUUGCCUCCCUUUAGCUUUGGAGUACGUGUCUGGCGAAUGUAACGAGGCUGGCCCGUUUAAAGCAUCUCUUGCCUUAACGAAACCUACACACGAGGUGAGUCCAUGUUUUGUUGUUCUCUCUUUUCCUCUAUUGUACUUAUUAGUACAACCUACAAUGUCCUUAUACCUACCUGUCUACUACUCGUGAUCGUCGUACGUAUAAGAUAUGGUAUACAUAGAAGCAUGGCCAUGCCGUUUAUGGUUGCUGCUCCGAAAUUACGGGGUGUA